AUGCACGCUGUCUACAGGCUUAACACAUGCAAGUCGAGGGGAAACGACGGGGAAGCUUGCUUCCCCGGGCGUCGACCGGCGCACGGGUGAGUAACGCGUAUCCAACCUGCCUCUGACUGAGGGAUAACCCGUCGAAAGUCGGCCUAAUACCUCAUGGCAUCGUCUGCGGGCAUCCAACGACGAUUAAAGAUUUCAUCGGUCAGGGAUGGGGAUGCGUCUGAUUAGCUUGUUGGCGGGGUAACGGCCCACCAAGGCUACGAUCAGUAGGGGUUCUGAGAGGAAGGUCCCCCACAUUGGAACUGAGACACGGUCCAAACUCCUACGGGAGGCAGCAGUGAGGAAUAUUGGUCAAUGGGCGGGAGCCUGAACCAGCCAAGUAGCGUGCAGGAUGACGGCCCUAUGGGUUGUAAACUGCUUUUAUGCGGGGAUAAAGUGAGGGACGUGUCCUUCAUUGCAGGUACCGCAUGAAUAAGGACCGGCUAAUUCCGUG
rnacentral:rRNA from 1 species